GCAAGACGGAGGUAACAGAUUGCACAAACACAUUGAAACAUUUUCAGCUGUUCACUAACACUGUUACAUUUUCUGGAAUUUUCAAUUGAAUGAGAGAAUACGUAAGUAAGAUAGAGAAAAACUAUCGACAUUCUAAACAUAUUGUAAUAUUAACUUGCUAGAAUAGGAGAGACGAAUGCCCAAUUUUUCAAGAAGAAGAAAACGAAAAGCGCAGUUUAUUUUGGAUUUUAAAGAGAGAAACUAAAAGGCUUAACUAGGAGAAAAAGAAAACAUUUGGAGGAUUCAAGUAUAUUGGGUACAACAAACAAAUAAGAGAUUUUCGACGUGGAUCCUAUCAAUCAGUUAAGUUUUAGUUUUAAAUAAUGAAUAAGAAAACCUUUUCAAACCUCUUUGCGCUCCUCCAGCAGAACCAACAGAAAUUGUGGUACCGUCACCAUCGUCUGGCGGCCAUGCAGAUAUAAUCCAGAAGCUGAAUGCUAUUGAGACCCGUCUCACUGCCAUUGAGAAGUCCCUAACAGACAAAAUGCCAGUGAAGGCCGAGGUGCAGGCGCAAAGUAAAUUAUUGCGCGAAUGCCGCGUCAUAGCGGCAAAGACGCACCAUUCAAUUAGCCGCAUCACCGGUGAUUUGGAGGACGAGCAUUACGUGGAGCUCGCUUCGAAACUGCCCAUGUUAUCGGAAGAGCACGUGCGCUUCGUGGAAGACAAACUUUCCCAAAAGGAAAGCACGGAUGCUAUGAUGCGGCUAAUAUUGAAAUCAAAGGGCGCAAAAGGCAGUGUGGACGGCGUACUUCGUGGUUUGUUUUCAGACGAUGUAAUGUACCAUUAUUUCCUGACAAGGAUAAAAGCAGUAUAUGUGGGGAGCUCCGGAGAUUUGUGGCCUUAAGCCACAAUCGUUUUAAACAGAAGAAACAUAAACU